GAGUUUGAUCGUGGCUCAGGAUGAACGCUGGCGGCGUGCUUAACACAUGCAAGUCGAGCGAAGCGCUUUACUUUGAUUUCUUCGGAUUGAAAAGUGUUGCGACUGAGCGGCGGACGGGUGAGUAACGCGUGGGCAACCUGCCUCAUACAGGGGGAUAACAGUUAGAAAUGACUGCUAAUACCGCAUAACCAUGAUGACCGCAUGGUCAUUAUGUAAAAGAUGGUUUCAGCUAUCACUUUUGGAUGGACCCGCGGCGUAUUAACUUGUUGGUGGGGUAACGGCCUACCAAGGUGAUGAUACGUAGCCGAACUGAGAGGUUGAUCGGCCACAUUGGGACUGAGACACGGCCCAAACUCC
rnacentral:rRNA from 1 species